GCACCGGUGGCGAAGUGGCUAACGCGCUGGUCUGCAAAACCAGUAUUCAUGGGUUCAAUUCCCAUCCGGUGCUCCA
rnacentral:tRNA from 1 species